GAUGGCGACCGGCGCACGGGUGAGUAACACGUAUCCAACCUGCCGAUGACUCGGGGAUAGCCUUUCGAAAGAAAGAUUAAUACCCGAUGGCAUAGUUCUUCCGCAUGGUAGAACUAUUAAAGGAUUUCGGUCAUCGAUGGGGAUGCGUUCCAUUAGGUUGUUGGCGGGGUAACGGCCCACCAAGCCUUCGAUGGAUAGGGGUUCUGAGAGGAAGGUCCCCCACAUUGGAACUGAGACACGGUCCAAACUCCUACGGGAGGCAGCAUG
rnacentral:rRNA from 1 species